UGCAAACCCGCUACUUUGUAGAAUUUAUUUUAAUAAGACCCACUCUGCAUUUAGAGGUCCUCUCAGGUAGCUGUUGAUUUUCAUUUGUAGCAAAUAUUUAUUAGUCGGUCCAUUUAUAUUCUUUUCGUGCACCCUGUAUAUCCAUUUUCAAUUCAAUAAUGAAAUUAGUGAUGCCUGAUUUAAAUUAGAAAAGUUAUUUCCAUCAUCUCGAAUAAUAUUUAUUGAGAAAAUAUUAUUGCCAUUUUCAUUUUAAACAGUUUAAUUAUUUCCAGUUUUCGUUCUUUCUAAAUAUUUUAUUUCGAAGCAAAAUUAUUUAUCAAGCCAUUAAUUUUUUGUAAUUUUAAAACGUUCAACUUUGUCAAUUUCAAUGAGAAUGUCUUUUUCGUUAUCAGCUAAUCCUGACCUUCAAUUAAUUUCUUUUACCUUUAUAAAUACCAUGCUGGUGCCUUUCUGGCUCAUUUUUAUAUUCUUCGCCAAGUAGGUAGCAGCGAGCGCUACAGACCUAAUUGGUAAGUUGUUUUUGGGUUUUAUCAUUUACUUUUCCGAUAAUAUUUUUUUUGUUAAUUGACUAACUCGAAUUUGCAGGAUAUAUUUAUAUUUUUACGUAUUUGUAUUGUAAAUUUGAUUUAUCCAAUAAGAAAAUAAUUUUGGGGUAUCUAUUUACUUAUUUUCCGUGAAUGCUAAUUCAUUAGCAUCAGCAGUGGUGUUAAAUAUCAAUUAUUUUCAAGUUUAAUUUAUUACGUUAAUUUUAUAGAAAUAUGUGGGAUUAAAUUAAUUUAUUUUUGUUCAUUUAUUUUAUUGUAUUUUUUAAUUGGGGUGUUCACAUUAGAACAUUUGGGGUCUACUGUUUGGUUUAAAAGUCACUUCCAAGAUUUUCUGUGCUGCUGGUGGGGAAUAUUGGGGUUUUGUUGACUUGGGUGGUGGGGCCCUUCAUAAAUUUAUGCUGCGGGUUGUCUACAUCUUGUUUUCUCUUCUAGGCACCCAGGAGAAGGGCGUGGCCCUAGUUUUUACACCAUCUGUUUUGGCCCAGAGGAUAUAUAAUGCCCCCCCCCCCCAGAAAGUACAAAUAAAUGGUAAAUAGCAGCUCCUCAAGACCCAUGGGUUCGACGAACAUUUAGGCAACUCCGGAGGCAACAACCGAUCCACCAGUACAUCAGACCAGUACAUCAAAACCUGACGCCUCCCGAAGAAGAUCAUGAGGUGUGGAUAACCUAGGACAGCACCGGAAGAAGCCUUCACACCACAAGUUAAGUCUUCUUUAGAAUCUUAUAUUUGCCUGUCAGCAGAGACAUUUUUUUUAUAUAAAUUAACUUCAUAAUAACUUCACAAUGAUGUAGAUCCUAAAUUAUAAAAAAAAAAGAAAUGAGAAAAUAAAGCAUUUAUACCGAA